UACGGAGGGUGCAAGCGUUAAUCGGAAUUACUGGGCGUAAAGCGCACGCAGGCGGUCUGUCAAGUCGGAUGUGAAAUCCCCGGGCUCAACCUGGGAACUGCAUCCGAAACUGGCAGGCUAGAGUCUUGUAGAGGGGGGUAGAAUUCCAGGUGUAGCGGUGAAAUGCGUAGAGAUCUGGAGGAAUACCGGUGGCGAAGGCGGCCCCCUGGACAAAGACUGACGCUCAGGUGCGAAAGCGUGGGGAGCAAACAGGAUUAGAUACCCUGGUAGUCCACGCCGUAAAAGAUGUCGACUUGUAGGUUGUGGCCUUGAGGCGUGGGUGCCGGAGCUAACGCGUUAAGUAGACCGCCUGGGGAGUACGGCCGCAAGGUUAAA
rnacentral:rRNA from 1 species